GGCAUUCUGGCUGGGGUCAAGGGACAUCAUCCUGGAUAGGGUUGGAAGAAGCACUGUCUAUGGAGCUUUCGUAUGAGAGAAGAAGGGGAUGAGGAAGAGGAGGAGGAAAAAGAAGAGUAAGGGACAGCAUUUAUCAUCACUUCUAUGAGGGUCUUGCUAUAUUGCCCAAGCUGAUCUAGAACUUCUGGGCUCAAGUGAUCCUCCUGCCUCGGCUUCGUGAGUAGUGCCCAACCAUAGGCUCAUUUUUAAAAGAUACUUUCUAGUUUUUUGUUUUGUUUUGUUUUGAGAGUCUCUGUCACCCAGGUUGGAGGGCAGUGGUGCGAUCUUGACUCACUACAACCUCUGCCUCCCAGGUUCGAGCGAUUCUUGUGCCUCAGCCUCCUGAGUAGCUGGGACUACAGGUGCCAUCAAUCAUCUCUGGGGAUACCUUCCUUCAGAGUCACAUUACCUGAUGAGAAUUCCACAAUUCCACUUCCUGUUCUUCAGAAGUCUCGCCUUGGAUAGAUUUGACCUAAGGGAAGCCACUGGAUCCCAAGGGCUAACGCGAGGUGAGAGAAGCCAGCUACAAGUUUAAG
rnacentral:lncRNA from 13 species